rnacentral:rRNA from 1 species
ACGCUCGACACCUACGUGAGGCAGCAGUGGGGAAUAUUGCACAAUGGGGGAAACCCUGAUGCAGCAACGCCGCGUGAAGGAAGACGGUUUUCGGAUUGUAAACUUCUGUUCUUAGUGAAGAUAGUGACGGUAGCUAAGGAGCAAGCCACGGCUAACUACGUGCCAGUAGCCGCGGUAAUCUGAGCGGGCUGGCAAGGC